UACAGAGCAGCUAUGCUGUGCUGGGAGUCCACAUUGAUCCCUGGUUGCCUUGGACACUGAAGCUCGAAGACUGGAAUGGCACAGUCACCCAAACAGCAAAGUUGGGGGCCCACCCCUCCCUGAGGAGCUCUGUCCCAUGUAAGCUCAACACUGCUGCAAGUGGCUGGAAUUCUAAGCCAAAAGAAUCUCAUCCUGUGAAGCCAUAUGGAGGUGAGGCCUGCAGAUCAUCACUGUUUGGCCCUGUGAAUUCAGCCUCUUUCCUGGGGGUCCACUAAUAAAGAGUACAAGAAAGUUUACUUUCAACUGCCAAGACCAGCAAUACACAUACACUAUCCUACUGCAGGGAUAUAUCAACUCUGCAGUUCUGCAGCUCUAUAUUAUAAUUUAGUCUGCAAGAAACUUAAUCAACUUUCCCAUCCACAAGACACUGCCCUGACCCAUUCCAUGGAUGACAUUAUGCUGACUGGAUCUAGUAAACAAGAAGAAGCAACUACUCUAGAUGUAUUAGAAAUAAAUUUGUGUGUCAGAACAUAGGAAAUUUAUCUGAUAAAAAUCAGGAGCCCCCCCCCAGUGAAAUUUCUAGGGGUCCAGUGAUGGGGGCACAUUAAGAUAGUCCUUCUAAGGUGAAGGAUAACAUGUUGCAUCUGGCUCCUCCUACAGCCAAAAAGCAGGCACAAUACCCACUGCACUGUCAUUUCAGAGGCAGCAUGUUCCUCAUCUGGGUGUGCUACUCUAGCCCAUUUACUGAGUGACCUGAAAAGCUGCUAGUUUUCAGUGGGGCCCAGAACAUAAGAAGGCUCUGCAACAGGUCCAGGAUGCUGUGCAAGUUGCUCUGCCACUUGAAUAAAAUGAUCCAGUGGAUCCAACAGAGACUGAAUUGACAGAGGCAGACAGAGACCUACUUGGAGACUUUGGCAGCCUCCUGUAAGUGAAUCACAGAGAAUAAUUUUAGAUGCAUGCUAGGAGAGAAAAGGUAAUGUGGCAGGACUGGAAGCCAUGAGAAAUGCCCUGCCACCCUCUGCAGAUAACAACUCUCCCUUUGAGAAAAGCUUUCGGCUUACAACUGGGCCUUAGUAGAGACUGAAUGAGUCACUAUGGGCCACCAAAUGGCCAUGUGACCUGAGCUACCCAUCAUUAAUUGGGUGUUGUCUGACACACAAGCCAUAAUGUUGAGUGUGCACAGCAGCACUCCAUCAGCUAGAGGAACAGGUAUACAGGAGAUCAGGUUGAAGGAAGCCCUGAAGGCACAAUUAAAUGACACCAGGAAAUGUCCCACAUGCUCAUGGCUCCCAGUUCUGCUACAUUACCUUUCUCCCAUAGCCUGUACCUAAUGCAUCAUAGGAGAGUUCCUUAAAAUUAGUUGACUCAGGAAGGGAAAACUAAGAUCUGUGGAUAGAUAGUUCUUUAUAGUAUGCAGACAUCUCUUCAGGGACAUCCUGAAGAAUUGUGUUGAAGGGAGAUAUUCCCAGUAGACAGAACUUUGAGUAGUGUAGCUGGUUAUUAAUUUUGCUUCAAAAGAGAAAUGAACACAGAUGUGACUGUAUAUGGGUUUAUAGGCUAUAGCCAAUGGCUUGAUGGAUGAUCAGAGAAUUUUAAAGAACAUGAUUGGAAAAUUGUUGGCAAGAGGUUCUGGGGAUAAAGUAUGUUGAUAGACCUUUCUAAAUGUGCAAAAAAUGGGCAGAUAUCUCUUAUAUGACUAAUUCCAAAAGGUGACCUCAGCAGGGGAGGUUUUAUAAAGUGGAUAGGAUGACUCAUUGUUUGUAUACCUGUCAUCCUCUUUGCUUAGUGAACUCAUGAACAAAACGGCCAUGGUGGUACAGGUGGAGAUCAUGCGUGGGCUCAGUAACAUAGAUUUCUACUCACCAAAGCCCACCUGGCUACAACCACUGCUGGGUACGUACCAAAUCUGCCAUCAGCAGAACCUACACUGAGUCUCCAAUAUAAUGCCAUUCCUGGAGGUGAUUAGCCAGCUACUGGUGCAGGUUGAUUACAUUGAACAGUUACCAUUGUGAAAGAAGCAGGGGCUUAUUCUGCCUGGAACAGACAUUUUCUCUGGAUACAAAUUUAUUUUCCCUGCAAGUAGUGCUUCUGCCAAAACAAUAUUCGUGGACUUUAGAAUGCCAUAUCUUCCCUAUGGUAUCCUACACCGUGUUGCUUGGAAUCCAACAAUUUAUUUCACAGAAAAUUAAAUGCCACAAUGGGUCCAAACUUAAGGAAAUUCACAGGUCUUCUUGUGUUCUCCAUCAUCCUGAAGCAGCUGGUUUCAUAGAAGGGCAGUAUGGCCUUUUGAUCAUGAAGUUACAGUGUCAGCCAGGUGGCAAUAACCUGCGGGUUUUUGGCAAUGUUCUCCAGAAGUUGCAUACGCUCUAAAUCAGCAUCCAUUAUAUGGUCUCUUCAUCCCAUUGCAAAGAUGCGUGUGUCCAGAAGUUACCAAAUAGAAAUGGGAGUCACAAGAUUCACUAUUACACAUGGAGAUCCAUUUGCAAAAUAUUUGCCUUUUGUCCCCACAACCUUAUGUACUGAGGGUCUAGAGGUUUUCUAAAGGGAGGAAUGCCCCCUGAGGAGACACAGAAAUGAUUCCACUGAGCUGGAAGCUAAGACAGCCACCCAGCCCCUUCAGCUCCUCAUGCUUCUGAAUCAACAGACAAAGAAAGGAGUUACUGCACUGUCUGGGGUUAUUGGUCCUGGACCUCAGAAGGAAAUUGGUCUGCUACUACACAAUGGCAGCAAACAAGACUAUGGAAUACAGGAGAUCUUUUAGAGCAUCUCUUAGUCAUACACUGCCCUAUAAUUAAAGUAAAUAAAAACUACAACAGCCCAAGUCAGGCAGGACUACUAAUGAUUCAUAACCAGAAUGAAUGUCUGAUUUGCCCAAGCAAGAAAAGAAAUCUGGUCAGCUGAGGGACUUGCUGAAGGGUUCGUGUGUUGGCUGGACUUAGAUGAUGGCCUGAGAGUUUUACAUGGUUUAGAGAUUGAAGUGGAAGGAACCAGAUGCAAGCAGGAUGGUUAACAGCAGUCCCCAGAACUGACACAACCACACUUUUGUCAUAUUUUAUUGGCUAAUGCAGAUAUCAGAUCUGCUCGUGUUUAAGGGGGUGGAGAGACCUUACCUCUCGGUGAGGAAAUGGUGAGUCAAACUAAAGAAAACCAAGUGUGAUGGAAGAUAUUUUUGAAGCCCUCUUGGAAAAAUACAUGGAAUCCAAAACAUCCUAUCUGCCAAAAUGGAAGAACACCAUCAAGCUUUAUCCCUCAAUUUUAAGCUUUGUGACUCUAUAAUAUCCUGGGGAAGAACAGUGUCUUAGGAAGCAGAUGUGGAGUUGAAGCUCUAAAUAUAGCCCCAUCUAUAGCCACACUGUCACUUUAUUUUGAUGAAAUUUUAUGUCAUUUUUGAUAAAAUGGGGACCCACAAGUCUCUCUUCAGUGAUCUCUCCAGUAGCAGGGAUAAUAUGCUUCCCUCCUCCAUAGUUCUGCUUUACAGAUAAGGGGUCCAGGUCUGUUUCAAUUAUUUAAAACACCAGAGACUUGGAUGCAUGCAUGCCACAAAAGGUGAAAGAAUGCUCUGUCACUUCUUCUACCCUCACUCACUGCACCCUGAACAAACACUUGCUCUACCCUGACCUCUUGAAUGAGGAGGCAGAUCGCACUCCUGCCUAACCUUCAAGCUUCCAGAGCCAAACCUGCUGCCCAAACAGCAGGGUUCACUAUAAAGACUAAAUCCUACAUGAAAAGCUCUCCAUUCAGCCACCAUGGCAGAAACUGAAUCCCAUGGAAAGGCCUAGAGUCACUCUGCCUUAAGAGGUCCGUUGUCAUGUUCCUUCUGCCAAAAUGAGGCCAACAUAUUCAUGAAAAUAUGGGGUUUUGAUAAGUAAAAAUGAUUACUACAAAAAUUUAACAAAUAUGUUCUUUUUGUUACAUCAACUGUUUGUCCUCCAAGUACAAAGAAAAGAAGCUUGCACAGCAGGAGAAGUUGUUUCCUCGUGAAAGAAGCCUCUUUCCAGUUGAAAAGCUGGAACAGGGGUCGCUAGAAUGGAGCAAGACUUUCAGGUAGGACACAGCACUGGGUCUUGGGGCAGCCAGAGUUAAGGAGGGCUUACCUUCUGUGUGAUACCACGCUUUGGUUCACCUUUUUUUUUUCUUCUUAUUGCAAGAACAAAAUUUCAGAGUAUCAAGAGACAGAGUCAAGCAAAAGAGAUUUACUCUAUUUUAUUCUUUAGAAAAUGAAAUCUCAGGAUAAUAUAGACUGUUAUGGGCUAAAUUGUAUCCCCUCAAAAUUGGCAUGUUGAUGUUCUAAACCUCACUAACUCAGAAAGUGACUGCAUUUGGAGAGGUCUUUAAGGGGGUCAUUAGUAAAAUAAGGACAUAUGAGUGGGCCCUAAUUCAAUAUGACUGGUGUCCUUAUAAAAAGAGAAGAUUAGGAUACAGACAUGCAGAAGAAUGACCAUAUGAAGACACAGAGAGAACACAUCUACAAGCCAAAGAAAGAAGCCUUAGAAGAAAUCAGCACUGCCAACACCAUCACCUUUGACUUCCAGCCUCCAGAACUGUGACACAAUACAUUUCUGUUGUUUAAGUCACCCAGCGUGUGGUACUUUGUUAUGGUCACCUUAGCAAAUUAAAACAAACACAUGACCCUGUGACGUGGUAAAAGUCUCAUAAAACUGCAUACCUCAACCAUACCUUGGCUUUCUGUUGAAACUGCUCUCUGUAACCCUGAUGUGACAGGUAAGCAGCCCAAAUCCAUGCUAUCUUGGCUCCUGAGGCUUGUAAUAAAUAAAGUCUGUAAUUU